UCUUUUACCAUGCUAAUACUGAAAACAUCAGGUAGGGGUUUUAUUCUUCAUUAGAUGUUGUUAAUAUGAAUUCUCUUUCUUACAUGCAACUGAGGGGC